AACGAACGCUGGCGGCAGGCUUAACACAUGCAAGUCGAACGCCCCGCAAGGGGAGUGGCAGACGGGUGAGUAACGCGUGGGAAUCUACCCAGUUCUACGGAACAACUGAGGGAAACUUCAGCUAAUACCGUAUACGCCCUACGGGGGAAAGAUUUAUCGGAAUUGGAUGAGCCCGCGUUGGAUUAGCUAGUUGGUGGGGUAAUGGCCUACCAAGGCGACGAUCCAUAGCUGGUCUGAGAGGAUGAUCAGCCACACUGGGACUGAGACACGGCCCAGACUCCUACGGGAGGCAGCAGUGGGGAAUAUUGGACAAUGGGCGCAAGCCUGAUCCAGCCAUGCCGCGUGAGUGAUGAAGGCCUUAGGGUUGUAAAGCUCUUUCAGUGGGGACGAUAAUGACGGUACCCACAGAAGAAGCCCCGGCUAACUUCGUGCCAGCCGCCGCCGUAACAC
rnacentral:rRNA from 1 species